rnacentral:rRNA from 1 species
CCCCUACGGGAGGCAGCAGUCGGGAAUAUUGCACAAUGGAGGAAACUCUGAUGCAGUGACACCGCGUAUAGGAAGAAGGUCUUAGGAUUGUAAGCUAUUGUCGUGUGAGAAGAAAAUGACCAUCACAGGAGGAAGCCCUGGCUAAAUAUGUGCCAGCAGCCGCGGUAAUGGGG